rnacentral:rRNA from 1 species
UACGUAGGGUGCAAGCGUUGUCCGGAAUUAUUGGGCGUAAAGGGCCCGUAGGCGGUCUGUCGCGUCGGGAGUGAAAACUCAGGGCUUAACCCUGAGCCUGCUUCCGAUACGGGCAGACUAGAGGUAUGCAGGGGAGAACGGAAUUCCUGGUGUAGCGGUGGAAUGCGCAGAUAUCAGGAGGAACACCGGUGGCGAAGGCGGUUCUCUGGGCAUUACCUGACGCUGAGGAGCGAAAGUGUGGGGAGCGAACAGG